CACGUAGGGCGCAAGCGUUGUCCGGAAUUAUUGGGCGUAAAGAGCUCGUAGGCGGUCUGUUGCGUCCGCUGUGAAAACUCGGGGCUUAACCCCGAGCCUGCAGUGGAUACGGGCAGACUAGAGGUAGGUAGGGGAGAAUGGAAUUCCCGGUGUAGCGGUGAAAUGCGCAGAUAUCGGGAGGAACACCGGUGGCGAAGGCGGUUCUCUGGGCCUUACCUGACGCUGAGGAGCGAAAGCGUGGGGAGCGAACAGGAUUGAG
rnacentral:rRNA from 1 species